UACGUAGGGUGCGAGCGUUGUCCGGAAUCAUUGGGCGUAAAGAGCGUGUAGGCGGCCUGGUAAGUCCGCUGUGAAAGUCCAGGGCUCAACCCUGGAAUGCCGGUGGAAACUGUCAGGCUCGAGUCCGGAAGAGGCGAGUGGAAUUCCUGGUGUAGCGGUGAAAUGCGCAGAUAUCAGGAAGAACACCCGUGGCGAAGGCGGCUCUCUGGGACGGUACUGACGCUGAGACGCGAAAGCGUGGGGAGCGAACAGG
rnacentral:rRNA from 1 species